rnacentral:rRNA from 1 species
GAUGAACGCUAGCGGCAGGCUUAAUACAUGCAAGUCGUGGGGCAGCGCAGUGUAGCAAUACAUGGGCGGCGACCGGCAAACGGGUGCGGAACACGUACACAACCUUCCUACAAGUGGGGAAUAGCCCAGAGAAAUUUGGAUUAAUACCCCGUAACAUAUAAAGAUGGCAUCAUUUUUAUAUUAUAGCUACGGCGCUUGUUGAUGGGUGUGCGGCUGAUUAGGUAGUUGGCGGGGUAAUGGCCCACCAAGCCUGCGAUCAGUAGCUGAUGUGAGAGCAUGAUCAGCCACACGGGCACUGAGACACGGGCCCGACUCCUACGGGAGGCAGCAGUAAGGAAUAUUGGACAAUGGGCGCAAGCCUGAUCCAGCCAUGCCGCGUGAAGGAUUAAGGUCCUCUGGAUUGUAAACUUCUUUUAUAAGGGACGAAAAAAGGGAAUUCUUUCUCACUGACGGUA